rnacentral:rRNA from 1 species
UACGUAGGGUGCGAGCGUUAAUCGGAAUUACUGGGCGUAAAGCGUGCGCAGGCGGUCUGUUAAGACCGAUGUGAAAUCCCCGGGCUUAACCUGGGAACUGCAUUGGUGACUGGCAGGCUUGAGUGUGGCAGAGGGAGGUAGAAUUCCACGUGUAGCAGUGAAAUGCGUAGAGAUGUGGAGGAAUACCGAUGGCGAAGGCAGCCUCCUGGGCCAACACUGACGCUCAUGCACGAAAGCGUGGGGAGCAAACAGG